rfam:Citrus sinensis cultivar Ridge Pineapple sweet orange scaffold00006_contig_382, whole genome shotgun sequence.
AGAUCUGUAAGCUCAAAAUGGGAAGAGCGCCCAAAUCUAUACCUUCUUGGUUUGGGAGGGUAGUGGUUCGAAUCCACUCAGAUCUG